UACCAGCUCUCCGAGUGGUAGGGAUGAUUAUUGGGCUUAAAGCGUCCGUAGCCGGCUUAGCAAGUCUCCUGUUAAAUUCAGCGACCUAAUCGUUGACCCGCGGGAGAUACUACUAGGCUAGGAGGCGGGAGAGGUCGACGGUACUUCUGGGGUAGGAGUGAAAUCCUAUAAUCUCGGGAGGACCACCAGUGGCGAAGGCUGUCGACUAGAACGCGCUCGACGGUGAGGGACGAAAGCUGGGGGAGCGAACCGGAUUAGAUACUCGGGUAGUCCCAGCUGUAAACGAUGCGGGCUAGGUGUUGGGGUGGCUACGGGCCACUUCAGUGCCGCAGGGAAGCCAUUAAGCCCGCCGCCUGGGGAGUACGGCCGCAAGGCUGAAACUUAAAGGAAUUGGCGGGGAGCACCACAAGGCGUGAAGCUUGCGGUUC
rnacentral:rRNA from 1 species